rnacentral:rRNA from 1 species
CUACGGGAGGCAGCAGUAAGGAAUCUUCCGCAAUGGGCGCAAGCCUGACGGAGCGACACCGCGUGCAGGACGAAUGCCUUCGGGUUGUAAACUGCUUUUCUAGAUCAGGAAAAUGACCAAUCUAGGAAUAAGCACCGGCUAAUCACGUGCCAGAAGCCUCGGUAAUGCGUGAGGUGCAAGCGUAUCCGGAUUUACUGGGCGUAAAGCGUGCGUAGGCGGCAUAAUAAGUCCGUGGUUAAAUUUCAUGGCUCAACCAUGGAGUCGUCAUGGAAACUAUUAUGCUUGAAUCGGUCAUAGGCGAGUAGAAUUUCUGGUGUAGGGGUGAAAUCCGUAGAUAUCAGAAGGAAUACCAAAAGCGAAAGCAGCUCGCUGGGGCUUGAUUGACGCUGUUGCACGAAAGCGUGGGUAGCAAACGGGAUUAGAUACCCUAGUAGUC